CACCCACGAAGAGCCACUGCCUACCCCGCAUCUUUCUUCUGCCCCGAUUCAACCGGCUCUCUUCUCCCCAAGAUUACAGCCCCGAUUGGAACGACUGGCGGCGGCAGAUCGGGGGAGGUCGCCCUACAGGCCGAGCUCGGAUCCACCCAAACAUCCAGCCCCGCGAGCACCCGGCCCUCUUCUCCCCCAACUGCAGCGACCCGUGACGCCAGAUUGAAGGAGGCUGCCCCGCUGCCGAGGUUGGACCCACCGCAUCAACCCGCCCAGUGAGCACCCGGCUCUCUUUUCCCCAGCGACCGAUGACUUUUCGGUGAUUUCCUCAUGCCGCCCUCCUCAUCCAGCCACCCCUUGGCGUUCAAUGAUUAGGGUUCAUGCAUACUAGUACUAAUCACCUCGCCCUUCUCUGCAAUUAGGAUUUGCUACAGCCUGCGAUGUUAAAAAGCCUGAACCUCCUGCUAGAUAACUUUACUUGAUAUCCUAUUAAUAGGUCCGUGUGCAAAACCGCAAUAGUGACCAUGGUUUUGCAUUUGUUAUAGCCUGCUAUUGUCAAAAGGGAUGAACCUGAAUAUAUGCUACUGUAGCACUGUUAGCCGUUAUGGAAAAGUUCAGUUAGGUAUGAGAUGUGUGGCCUUAGCUGGGAGAUUUCUUUUGCUUCCAUGUGCUUGUAUGGCUACUCUUGCAUUCAGAAGAAAAUUAUAUGUUAACCAUCUGAUGGUUGUACCCUGCUGUAAUGAAUAAAACUAGAUGCUCUUGAUCGUUGUAUGGUGUCAUAAUCAGAUGAACAUAAACACAUGAACUAAAGUAUGCAGCAUAUAAAAGGAGAACUAAUUACAAGCAGGAAGCAGUGCAUCCUUGUAUCCCUGUAUCUAUAUGUCAGGAUAAACUAGUUGCUUGAUGCAACCACUUUAUCUAUGUUAAAACGUGAAACUGAAUUCUAUGUUUGUGGUUCUGUUGUCCCAUAAAUAGUCCUUAACUAGUGCUGUCAAAACUGAAUAAAGACUGAGACUGCACUUGAUUUUGACUCCUUCAGGAGAUGCAUAGCUCUGUAUCAGUGUACUUUUGUCUACAGUACUAGUCAAAAGAGAACUAAACUUAAUCUUUGACAUGCCUCUCCUAAUUUAGCUACCCAUGAUGUUAAGCGUCUGAAGCCCACAAGCAUUUUCAGUACGCCCAGAACUUGAUAAAAGCAGAUACAUGGUAAACUUUAGUUUUUUUACUAUAUUCUGACAUACUAAGCUGGGUAAAAUCAACCUGCUCCUACUUUGCAAACAUACAACACCAUCCAUCGAGCCUUAAUUCUGAAAUAGUAGUAAACUUUCUGGUUUCUAAACUAUGCCAUACUAAGCUGACAUACUAAGCUGGGUAAAAUCAACCUGCUCCUACUUUGCAAACAUACAACACCAUCCAUCGAGCCUUAAUUCUGAAAUAGUAGUAAACUUUCUGGUUUCUAAACUAUGCCAUACUAAGCUGACAUACUAAGCUGGGUAAAAUCAACCUGCUCCUACUUUGCAAACAUACAACACCAUCCAUCGAGCCUUAAUUCUGAAAUAGUAGUAAACUUUCUGGUUUCUAAACUAUGCCAUACUAAGCUGACAUACUAAGCUGGGUAAAAUCAACCUGCUCCUACUUUGCAAACAUACAACACCAUCCAUCGAGCCUUAAUUCUGAAAUAGUAGUAAACUUUCUGGUUUCUAAACUAUGCCAUACUAAGCUGACAUACUAAGCUGGGUAAAAUCAACCUGCUCCUACUUUGCAAACAUACAACACCAUCCAUCGAGCCUUAAUUCUGAAAUAGUAGUAAACUUUCUGGUUUCUAAACUAUGCCAUACUAAGCUGACAUACUAAGCUGGGUAAAAUCAACCUGCUCCUACUUUGCAAACAUACAACACCAUCCAUCGAGCCUUAAUUCUGAAAUAGUAGUAAACUUUCUGGUUUCUAAACUAUGCCAUACUAAGCUGACAUACUAAGCUGGGUAAAAUCAACCUGCUCCUACUUUGCAAACAUACAACACCAUCCAUCGAGCCUUAAUUCUGAAAUAGUAGUAAACUUUCUGGUUUCUAAACUAUGCCAGUAGCUCCGGUAAUCAUAUAUUUUUGCUGUUUUUUAUUAUGAACAUUCUAGUCUUGUUUUUAUUGGCUUGCUGGCUGCUUCUCCCUGACUGUGACCCAGCUGCACCAUGCAUGUUGAUUUCUUUACUUGUUAGAUCCCAAUGCGUGAGAUCUUCAUUUUGUAUUUAUACAUUCUGACAUGAACUUCUUGUUGGCACUGCUGCCUGCUUACGAGUUAUGACUAUUUUACACAAUCUAGUUUCUUUUUGUCUACCACCAAUGCGAAGCCAACUUGUAAUAGCUAAAUCAGUCAGUUACGUUACAAGUACUCCUCCAUCAAUAUGCUUACUCAUAGUGCAAGCAAGAGUAAAUGUUUUCCAUUAAUUUCACUUUAACAAUUAGUUAUACACGAUAUUAGUGCAUCCCGUGCUUGCAUCCUAACUUAUCUACUUUAUUAUAUUCAUGUAAGCUCUAGGAAGGGGCUUUGAGAGAUGAAGGGGAAGCCACUCUUGCUAUGUCCAAAGCAAUGCUAAUAUAUCGUGUGGACUUACAUCUUGAAUAAUGUGUACAUCAGUGUGCAUUCACUGGCUUUAAUUAGGUCUUAUGUUUCCACUUUCAGCAAAAUUGAAAACGGCAAGUACAAUAAUCAGGAGCCAAGUCCCAUUGAGUUUUUCAAAGAGACCCAUACUAACAGCAUGAGCGAGCCGACACAUCUAGCUUAUAAUGCAAUGGAAAAGAAAAGGGAAACACAAUCAGAAGUGACAACCAGUGUUCGAUUCAAUGAUUGUGGCUGAAGUUCUAAAGGAAGAAAACGCCCAUAGCACCUUCCUUUCCAGCAUGAGUUAUGCAUCAAGAUCCGGGAGAUUUGGGAACUCUAAUUCAUCAGCAAGGAUCUGAGUUCUAGAAGAAAGAAUUGAGCAAAAGGAUAGAGAGGCGAGAGAUGCAAAUGACAGGCACUGAGAGGAGUUAGUGGUGAGACUUGAAGCACAAGCGAGAGCAUUUGAAGAGGUGUAGAGGAAGCAACACGAAUAAUUGGAAGAUGUGAAGAAGAUCGAGCAAGAGAAGAAUGAAGCAUGGCAAAAGAAGCAACAAGAGACGGAUAUCCUGAUUGGUUUUCUCUUAAGGGCUCAAGCAACUCAGCAAGCAACUUAGCAGUCCUAAUCCAAACUUAAUGGUGCAUGAAGGCCAUCCUUUUGCGAUGGAAAGAUAGUUGUUGAAUCAUACAUUGCAAUCAUCAGGAUAACACAUGUGGUCUUUACUUAUCUAAAUAUUGCUUUUCAACUUGUC